rnacentral:rRNA from 1 species
CAGCCGCCACGGUAAUACGUAGGUGGCAAGCGUUGUCCGGAAUUAUUGGGCGUAAAGGGCUCGCAGGCGGUUUCUUAAGCCUGAUGUGAAAGCCCCCGGCUAAACCGGGGAGGGUCAUUGGAAACUGGGAAACUUGAGUGCAGAAGAGGAGAGUGGAAUUCCACGUGUAGCGGUGAAAUGCGUAGAGAUGUGGAGGAACACCAGUGGCGAAGGCGACUCUCUGGUCUGUAACUGACGCUGAGGAGCGAAAGCGUGGGGAGCGAACAGGAUUAGAUACCCCCGUAGUCCCUGUCUCUUAUAC